rnacentral:rRNA from 1 species
GGACUACAGGGGUUUCUAAUCCCGUUUGCUCCCCUGGCUUUCGCGCCUCAGCGUCAGGUGGGGCCCAGCACGUCGCUUUCGCCACCGGCGUUCCUUCCGAUAUCAACGCAUUUCACCGCUCCACCGGAAGUUCCACAUGCCCCUACCCCCCUCUAGACUGCCGGUAUCCCAGGCAAUUACACGGUUGAGCCGUGUGCUUUCACCCCGGACCAGACAGCCCGCCUACGCGCCCUUUAAGCCCAGUGAUUCCGAACAACGUUCGCACGGUUCGUCUUACCGCGGCUGCUGGCAC